GGGGUCAUCCCGACUUACCAACCCUUUGCAAACUCCGAAUACCAGUAAGUACUAUCCGGGAGACACACGGCGGGUGCUAACGUCCGUCGUGAAGAGGGAAACAACCCAGACCGCCAGCUAAGGUCCCAAAGUUAUAGCUAAGUGGGAAACGAUGUGGGAAGGCUCAGACAGCCAGGAUGUUGGCUUAGAAGCAGCCAUCAUUUAAAGAAAGCGUAAUAGCUCACUGGUCGAGUCGGCCUGCGCGGAAGAUUUAACGGGGCUAAGCUAUACACCGAAGCUGCGGCAAUGCAGUUUACUGCAUUGGGUAGGGGAGCGUCUGUAAGCCGUUGAAGGUGAAUCGUAAGGUUUGCUGGAGGUAUCAGAAGUGCGAAUGCUGACAUGAGUAACGAUAAAGGGAGUGAAAAACUCCCUCGCCGGAAGAUCAAGGGUUCCUGUCCAACGUUAAUCGGGGCAGGGUAAGUCGACCCCUAAGGCGAGGCCGAAAGGCGUAGUCGAUGGGAAACGGGUUAAUAUUCCCGUACUUCUUAUAAUUGCGAUGGAGGGACGGAGAAGGCUAGGUGAGCCUGGCGACGGUUGUCCAGGUCCAAGUAUGUAGGCUGAUGGUUUAGGCAAAUCCGGACCAUCUUAAGGCUGAGAUACGAUGUCGAG
rnacentral:rRNA from 1 species